AAGGUUCAAUAAAAUACAUCAUACUGAUUAGUAUAAACUAGCCUGCAGCCCAGUGACUCAGCAGACAUGAAAUCUUCUGUGGUUCAUUUAUUUUGUAGGAUUUCCUCAAAACGAGAGCCUACCAUUUCCUGAGGUGAGCAAAUACUCAGGAGGAAGCCAGUCAGAUCACUGGGAAUCAGUCUGUUUGAAAUGAGGCAAUGAGAAAAACAGUCCCAUUAAGCCGGUAGCCUGGUGAGAUAUUUACAGACUGAGCAGGGCUGGCCAGGAUUACUCAAGUGGAGUGCAGUGAUAGCUGGGUCACGGCCAGGUCAGACACAGGCCAAUGUUUACACUUCGAGGAUGCCAUCAGUGCUCUGUCGUACUCACUCACAUGCCGGUUGUAUGGAACAGCUGCUCUGGCACAAUAAAGACCACUUCCCUCAACAGGCAGGGAGGGCCAGGGGAGAGGAGUGGGGCAUGUACUCUGUGUGUGUGUCUGGGAGGGCCACGCACAGGAAACUAAUCAUAGUGAAAGUAUGCAGCCAGCCAGGGGCCAACUCCACCUCCACUCAACUCUACUUGAGUUAUGCAUACAUUGGGAUGAACAUGAGUUUCAUCUGCUGAUGCAUCAUAUGACAGAUGAUAUAUUGGAGUUGGAGUUUACAUGCGUUAUAGAACCAAAUCCUGAAUAAUAAAACAUUUCCAAUGAAAUUCAGCGGGUCUGUUUUUCCAUUCUUCAAUACCUCUUCCAGAUCAUUAAGGACGUUCACACAGUGCAAUGUAGGCAUAGUGUUGUACAAGCUCUCAGCCAGGCAGGCUGACAAACAGCGAUAUUACAAAUAGCUUACACAUUAAAGACUUCCUUUGCUUGUGAAAUGCUUGGCUACACAGUAAUAAAAUAUGUUCCAAGGGAAUGUGUUUGAGGUGGGGCGAGGGAUGCGUGAUGUAAGGGAAUGUGUUUAAGGUGGGGCGAGGGAUGCGUGAUGUAAGGGAAUGUGUUUGAGGUGGGGCGAGGGAUGCGUGAUGUAAGGGAAUGUGUUUGAGGUGGGGCGAGGGAUGCGUGAUGUAAGGGAAUGUGUUUGAGGUGGGGCGAGGGAUGCGUGAUGUAAGGGAAUGUGUUUGAGGUGGGGCGAGGGAUGCGUGAUGUAAGGGAAUGUGUUUGAGGUGGGGCGAGGGAUGCGUGAUGUAAGGGAAUGUGUUUGAGGUGGGGCGAGGGAUGCGUGAUGUAAGGGAAUGUGUUUGAGGUGGGGCGAGGGAUGCGUGAUGUAAGGGAAUGUGUUUGAGGUGGGGCGAGGGAUGCGUGAUGUAAGGGAAUGUGUUUGAGGUGGGGCGAGGGAUGCGUGAUGUAAGGGAAUGUGUUUGAGGUGGGGCGAGGGAUGCGUGAUGUAAGGGAAUGUGUUUGAGGUGGGGCGAGGGAUGCGUGAUGUAAGGGAAUGUGUUUGAGGUGGGGCGAGGGAUGCGUGAUGUAAGGGAAUGUGUUUGAGGUGGGGCGAGGGAUGCGUGAUGUAAGGGAAUUAAACAAAGCAUCCAGCGGCAACAAAGCGUCACAAUAUGUGUGAAUCCCAAAUGGCACCCUAUUCCCUAUAUAGUGCACUACUUUUGAUCAUGGACACAGUGCACUACUUUUGACUAGAGCCCUAUGUCGGGGAUAGGGAGCCAUUUGAGUUGCAACAUAUCAGCUCUGACAGGCUCUAUGUGAUGGAGGUCAACAGGAACUCCAUUAGACUGUAUCAGCAAUAGCACAGCUAUGUGUUAAAAUGUACAUUUUAUUAUUAUUCCCCAAAGCAACCGUCCGCUGGGUGCUCAAGAAUACAUCCGUCGCCAGCAAGCAACCGGUUCAUUAUGUAAUCACGUCUAUUUCACCUAUCUUGAUUGUUGUGUGCCCUCAAAAAGCUGCAUUCCUUAUUUUAAGAGAUUUGCUUCUAACCCGUGUCUCAGUGCUAUUCAGUUUUUUUUUAUAGGUGCUGACACUUAAUCACCAAUGAAUUCUAGUGAAUCAUUUCAGAAGAAAACACUCAUCAAGUUGCAGGGAUCUGCAAGGGUGUGCUGUUUCCAUAGAGACACAGACUAUGAGAGUGGUAGGGCUGCCUGACCAGGUUCAUCAAUUCUUGUUAACUACAGGCCUUUAUCCGGUCAAACGGAUCCAGAGAGAGAAAAGCUACUCUUUACUUUAAAGCCGAUUUUAAGGCCAAAUUCAUCCUUCCUGCCAAGCGUAACGUGACCUCCAAUCUAAGCCGAGAGCUGCAUUCACAGCGUCAGUAAAAUGCAGAGGGCUUGGACCCUGGCUGCUCCCUUCAGGAGAGCGUUCUUCACGGAGACCAGGCUUGACAGCCAAGCUGCCGGGCUGCAGUCAGCCACAGUAUGCAUUCCAAAUGACACCCUAUUCCCUAUUUUAGGAAUCCCCAACUGGUGGCCCACUGGUGACUUUAGUUAGCUUUCGGAGCCCAAAACUAGUGUGUGGGGGGGGGGGGGAACAUAAGACUGUAAAAACACCAGCAAAUCGGCGCAAAGUGAUUUUAAUUUUGGAAUUCUUCACAGUGCACCCAUUUUACCCGCUGUGCGACCGGACAUUUUUUUAGGAGCACCAGUAUGCCUAGAAAACAAAUCACCCAGACGGUAAUUGUUGCAAUCAAUGAUUACUUCACUGUACUGCAACCCGGUGCUCCUAAAGUGUUCAAGUUAGGCACGCACAUGCUCCUUGUAAAAACAAAAAGGCCCAUCGUAGAGCCCUGAAAGUCUUACCAGGCAAAGAGAGAUACUGUAUAUGUGAUCCAGGAUUACCGUUAGCUUGCAAUUUAUGGCUUUUGGCUGGAAAAAAGAAUGAAAAGCUGAAAACUAUUACCGGCAAAAAAAUCUAAAAGAAAAAGAAACGCACACCUAUUUAGGAGAGGUGCUGGCUAGAGGUGCUGGCUAGAGGUGCUGGCUAGUGGUGCUGGCUAGAGGUGCUAGCUAGAGGUGCUGGCUAGAGGUGCUGGCUAUAAUAAUAAUAAUAAUAAUAAGUGCCAUUUAGCAGACGCUUUUAUCCAAAGCGACUUACAAGUCAUGUGUGCAUACAUUCUACGUAUGGGUGGUCCCGGGAAUCGAACCCACUACCCUGGCGUUACAAGCGCCAUGCUCUACCAACUGAGCUACAGAAGGACCACAGAAGGCUAGAGGUGCUGGCUAGAGGUGCUGGCUAGAGGUGCUGGCUAGAGGUGCUGGCUAGCGGAGUAGAAAACUUGAAAAUAAAAAGAGCCGCACACUCUAGGAGCUCAGAUGCAAAAAUGUUAUUAUCAACGUUUCGACAGCCAAGCUGUCUUCAUCAGGGUAUAAUCACAGACACUGCGGGAUGACUCGUUAAUGUAGUGUCAAAAGACACAGGUGUCUGUAAUCAUGGCCAGGAGUGGCCUAAUAUCAUUGGUUAAUAAUCAAAUAUUAAAACGUCAUACAAAGAACAGCAUACAAACAAAUGGAGAGCAUACGAUCGUAGAUUAAUUUGACUAUAAAAGUUUACACACAAUUACAAUGGCAAAGUCACAAUCACAAGAAUGGCUUCAGAUCAAAGUCUACAUUG